GCACAGGUAGAGAUUAAGUGAGAAAGAGUGUAACUUGUUGAAGUGUACGGAGAGUCUUUGAACUGAUUCUUUUUAGUGGAUUUCCUUCCUGGCUUGGUAGCCUCCAGAUGUAGGUGAGUUGGACCAAACUGGGUUAACAAUUGCUUGUGUCUCUUGCAUUACUAUUCUUUAUCUUUAUCCUGUUUGCAUUACUCAAAUAUUAGUGUCGUGACAUUACCUUCGACAUCUCAUAUCUGAUACCAGAAUUUCAGAAAGUAAGCAUGACAAUGGUUCAC
rnacentral:lncRNA from 1 species